AUUCAGUUAACGAGUCCCAAACAGGACGGAACGCGUGUCCUGGAU
rfam:Schistosoma rodhaini strain Burundi genome assembly, scaffold: SROB_scaffold0001932